rnacentral:rRNA from 1 species
GACGGAGGAUGCAAGUGUUAUCCGGAAUCACUGGGCGUAAAGCGUCUGUAGGUGGUUCAAUAAGUCAACUGUUAAAUCUUGAGGCUCAACUUCAAAAUCGCAGUCGAAACUAUUGGACUCGAGUAUAGUAGGGGUAAAGGGAAUUUCCAGUGGAGCGGUGAAAUGCGUAGAGAUCGGAAAGAACACCAACGGCGAAGGCACUCUGCUGGGCCGACACUGACACUGAGAGACGAAAGCUAGGGGAGCAAAUGGG